GAUGAACGCUGGCGGCGUGCUUAACACAUGCAAGUCGAACGAAGCACUAAGGUGAACCUCUUCGGAGGGAAACCUUAGUGACUGAGUGGCGGACGGGUGAGUAACGCGUGAGUAACCUACCUCAUACAGGGGGAUAACAGUUAGAAAUAGCUGCUAAUACCGCAUACGCUUGUAAAGUCGCAUGACUUUAUAAGGAAAACUUUCGUGGUAUGAGAUGGACUCGCGUCUGAUUAGCUAGUUGGUAAGGUAAUGGCUUACCAAGGCGACGAUCAGUAGCCGGCUUGAGAGAGUGACCGGCCACAUUGGGACUGAGACACGGCCCAAACUCCUACGGGAGGCAGCAGUGGGGAAUAUUGCACAAUGGGGGAAACCCUGAUGCAGCGACGCCGCGUGAAGGAGGAAGUAUUUCGGUAUGUAAACUUCUAUCAGCAAGGAAGAAAAUGACGGUACUUGACUAAGAAGCCCCGGCUAAAUACGUGCCAGCAGCCGCAGUAACAC
rnacentral:rRNA from 1 species